UACGUAGGAGGCGAGCGUUGUCCGGAAUUACUGGGCGUAAAGCGUGCGCAGGCGGUUCUAUAAGACAGAUGUGAAAUCCCCGGGCUCAACCUGGGGACUGCAUUUGUGACUGUAGAGCUGGAGUACGGUAGAGGGGGAUGGAAUUCCGCGUGUAGCAGUGAAAUGCGUAGAUAUGCGGAGGAACACCGAUGGCGAAGGCAAUCCCCUGGACCUGUACUGACGCUCAUGCACGAAAGCGUGGGGAGCAAACAGG
rnacentral:rRNA from 1 species